rnacentral:rRNA from 1 species
UCAUUUAGAGGAAGUAAAAGUCGUAACAAGGUCUCCGUUGGUGAACCAGCGGAGGGAUCAUUAA